GACGAACGCUGGCGGCGUGCUUAACACAUGCAAGUCGAACGGAAAGGCCCUGCUUGCAGGGUACUCGAGUGGCGAACGGGUGAGUAACACGUGGGUGAUCUGCCCUGCACUUCGGGAUAAGCCUGGGAAACUGGGUCUAAUACCGGAUAGGAGCCAUUUUUAGUGUGAUGGUUGGAAAGUUUUUUCGGUGUAGGAUGAGCUCGCGGCCUAUCAGCUUGUUGGUGGGGUAAUGGCCUACCAAGGCGGCGACGGGUAGCCGGCCUGAGAGGGUGGACGGCCAUGUGGGGGCUGAGAGCCGGCCCAGCCUCCUGCGGGGGGAGGCGGGGGGGAUUGUUGCACAGGGGGCGCAGGCCGGAUGCAGCGGCGCGGGGGGGGGAAUGCCGGCCUGCGGGUUGAAACCUCCUUCCGCUGGGGACGAUGUUUUUUGUGCCGUCCCCUAAAAAAAAAGCCCCGCCUAACUCCGCC
rnacentral:rRNA from 1 species